UACGAAGGGGGCUAGCGUUGCUCGGAAUCACUGGGCGUAAAGGGUGCGUAGGCGGGUCUUUAAGUCAGGGGUGAAAUCCUGGAGCUCAACUCCAGAACUGCCUUUGAUACUGAAGAUCUUGAGUUCGGGAGAGGUGAGUGGAAUUGCGAGUGUAGAGGUGAAAUUCGUAGAUAUUCGCAAGAACACCAGUGGCGAAGGCGGCUCACUGGCCCGAUACUGACGCUGAUGCACGAAAGCGUGGGGAGCAAACAGG
rnacentral:rRNA from 1 species